rnacentral:lncRNA from 1 species
GGUAAAAUUCUGGCACCUAUCCACAGCCUGAACCUUGGAGAACACCUCCCUUUCAUAUGACUUCUGCAAAGGGCGUGUUUCAGCUCACAGGGACAAAGAGUCACUGCACCAGAGAACCAGAAAGAGGGAAGAAAUGUUUGUCCCCGGUGCUGAGAACACCAUCAGAUGAUCUUUCUGCCCAGAGCCACUAUCUGUCCCUAAAUAUCAGGUUUAUCAAUGCCUGGCCAUCUCUUUUCAAUUUGGGACAACUGCCAGCGACCACUAGCUAGCUCCAGAAUUCCUCAGGUGUUUCAGGAAACUGCCGCAACUUUGUAGAGCACAGUUUGAAAGCUACUGCUGAAGAAAUAUGUCACCUUGAAGGCUUUUUAAACACGGGAUUUGCAAGAUAGGGUUUGCAUUUUAGAAACAUUAUUCUGCUUGCUACACUACUGAGUUUGGAUGAGGGAGACUUGAAGGCAAGGGAGCUCUGUUAUGAAAUAACUACACUUUUCUUAUAGAAGAAGACUAUAAUAGACUGUAUCAAAAAUGUCUACGUUCCAUAGCAUUGGUGGAACCAUGCAUUACGUCUGAGGACAAGGACGGGAACCUUCUGUGGCGUGCUGUCAACAGCUUUAAAUAGGCAUUGAGUUUGAAGAUAGAGCACAUGAAGGGCAUGUUACAGCAGAGCUGAAGGGAGAACAGUUGAUGGGGUUUGGUGAUCAACUGAUUUGGAGAGUAAAGCAAUGAGAAGAAUGACAUUCAUGAUUUGGUAUGAAUUAAAUGCCCAUGCACUGAUUCUCAUCUCACUGGAGGUACAGACACGGCUCACAGGCUUAAGCGUCUUGCUGUAGGUCAUACGGCAGGUUAAUGACAACACUGGGGCAAGAACACAGGUUACGCUCGUCCUGGGGAAGGCUCCCACACCAAGCUACACACUUCUGCAAUGCUGUUCCAGAUGUGAAAAUCCGCUAAGACAAAUAGGUCACAAAAACACCAUGGGAAACGAUGAUGUCUUUUCCUUUUUGUUAUCUUGAUAAAGCUUCAUACAUGGAUGAUAAAAUGGAAAUUUCAGUUGAGGAACUAAUAAAUCAACAGAUGUCUUACUCCACAACGAGGUGCAAGAUCUUGAGGCUGGAUUUAGAAAGAGGAAGAGAAGACCAAUUGCACAGCUCAUCACCCCUCACCCAUCUGAUGAUAUGAAAGGUUUGAAGGAAGCCAGAGCUGGAGCAAGAUUUUCCUCAGAUGAGUUUUGAUGAACUACAAAGAAUGAAGAUGCUCUCCCUUGUCAUCCCCAGUCAAAGAAAAGGCACUUUAAAGAAAUCACUCACGAGCCAGAUAUUGUGGUUGUAUUUUGGUGGACACAGUGAAGUCACGUCUGGCUCGCUCCGCAAAUACUGGGAGGGUGAGAAGUGGGAGGCUGACCUUUGAGGAAGCACGUGGGAUUUUUCCCCGCGGAACAGACGUGAGCCAUGAACACGGGAGCAAAAGUGUGCUAGAGUAACUCCCGUCAAAGAGAGACCCUUACUAGGGCAAGAAGACCUUGAUCAAAGCAUACCCAGAUGCCGAGGUUCUGAGGAAGGAAAUAAGUGACCACCAGGCAUGGUGCUCUGAUUAUUAAGCUAGUUUCUCAGCUCCAAACUCAACCUUCACUGCUUAGCCUUGUCACGGUGGGAAGGCUGGGAGAGGCCAAACCACCUUUCCCCUUUGCCAGGGCUCCCUGAUCAGUUCUGCCUAUGUGCUACUAAGGGAAACAGUAAGGCUGGAGGAGGGAAAGGGGACACCACCCUUCUCUUUGCGCACUGCUUAUGCCAGCAGCAUCCGAGCAAUACCGCUUGCCCUGUAGUGCUUCUUGAGUCGGAUUUCAGUUCAGUGUCUGGGUUUUUUAACAUUUCUAUAACCAUUCUCCCUCCUCAAUAGCACUCCCACAUCAGAAGCUGAGUCCCAGCUCCCUGACUUCUCCAGAUCCUAGAACUAUCAGCACCAGCAGCAGCACACAUUCCAUUCCUGUGGGGCUUGGCUCUGUGAGGCUCCUCUCAGCUCCCAGAUUCUCCCAACACAACUUCUUUCCUUUGUUCCCCCAGACUUCGAGCAGGUCAUUUCUUGCUAUGCCUGUCUAACCCCUUCCCUAAAUUCAAUUCUCUCUGUUAAGAUAACCAGUAUGUUUCUGCUUUCCAGUCUGGAUUCUGAUUGAUACACAAAAGCUGCAUUCCCACAUCAAGGGAACUCCGAGUGUUCACCCUCCGUGGUAAGGGGAGACUGGGAGACCCCACAAAAGCAUCCCAAGAGAGGAAGAGUCCCUUUACACACCUGCUGCCCCGUGUGUGGAUGCCCACUGAGCACGGAAGUUGUCAAGGGUAUUACAGUCAUAGCAGAGCAGAGGACCUUAGCAGCCCUAGGCAGAGAGGGGCUGAAGAAGCCAACCAAGGCUUCAGGUGUGGUUGGAGAAAGAAGUCUCAGCUUCAAUCAAGUUUUCAAGUUGGAUUAAUACAUGGGAAUGAACUGUUACUUAUCUGCUAUAUUGUUUUUGUGAUAUCAAGUAACCUGAUUUUUUACAUGUCCAAAAAAACAACAACAAAAAAGUAUUGAAGCCUACCUUAAAUUUCAUCUAGGGACAAAAGGAGGAACUAGCCCACCAAGCAGGUUUAAAGGGAGUGUCGGACACAAAAAUGACAUGCCCCAUAUUGCAGUCUAGAAGGAACAACACGGUGAAUUGUCUACUGCAGGAGCUGCCCACUUCUAAUGAUGGCUGACAUGGGAGGAAAAAGACACAGCUCAUGCCUCCAAUACCAGAAUAGAGAGAUGAUUAUUACUCUUAUUGUGCAGAUGAGAAAACUGAUGUCUAGAGAGAAUGAAUAAAUCCCAUCUUUCACAGCUGGACACUUCACUCUGUCUCGAUUACUACAUGGUGAAUUGAAGUUCCAGUAGAGAGGGAGUUGAGCUGAUACUGAGGAGGGGCCUUGGGUACUGAGAUGUGAGAUGGACUUCACGGAGAGCUGGCUGCAUCACGAGCCCCAAAGGGUAAGAAUCAGGCCUGGGACAGAGCACUCACUAAAUACCCAUCACUGUAUACAUCUACUUCUUGGAAUUUGCAAGGGAACCAGUCAACAGAUUUUUCAAGCCUUAUAAGUUUAUCUGCCUGAGAAGUUCACCAGCUACAUAACAUCCUGGACUCUGGAGCCCAAGAGAUGUGUAGUUUCCAUUUUGGAGCCAUUUUCUUUGAUAAAUAAGUAGUGAGGCUGCCAUUCUUGUCAAAGUUGAGGACCACAACCUUACUCAUGAAACUGAAAGAUUGUUUGUUAUGAGGAGUUCUGUUUGAGCCAUACAAGCAAUAUAUCCUUUUUAAAGAAAUGUAUCCGGAAUCUUAGGUGUUCAUUGCUCCAAGCCAUGUGCAGAAUAAAAAGAAAACAAAAAACAAAAAAC